rnacentral:lncRNA from 1 species
UUUAAAUAUCACCGUUAAUAUAUAACCUUAUUUACGACUUAUACUUUCAUGCGAAGUUUUUUGAACGCCUUUUCUUAUAUUACGACAACGCUUCUGAAGAUGACUAAUUAGUCGAAACAUGUAAAGCGGAUUUACUUAUAAUAAACCAGUAUAAAAGUACAA